GGAUGAAGAACGUAGCGAAAUGCGAUAAGUAAUGUGAAUUGCAGAAUUCAGUGAAUCAUCGAAUCUUUGAACGCACAUUGCGCCCGCCAGUAUUCUGGCGGGCAUGCCUGUCCGAGCGUCAUUUCAACCCUCGAACCCCUCCGGGGGUCCGGCGUUGGGGAUCGGGAACCCCUAAGACGGGAUCCCGGCCCCGAAAUACAGUGGCGGUCUCGCCGCAGCCUCUCAUGCGCAGUAGUUUGCACAACUCGCACCGGGAGCGCGGCGCGUCCACGUCCGUAAAACACCCAACUUCUGAAAUGUUGACCUCGGAUCAGGUAGGAAUACCCGCUGAACUUAAGCAUAUCAAUAAGCGGAGGA
rnacentral:misc_RNA from 1 species